AUUGCUUGGUUUUUCUUUUCACUUACUGGGCUAGUGAGCUCAUCUCACAUAUGCACCACUUUUAGAUGAUCUUGCAGGUUUUCCGGCUAAAGAGCUAGACCCGAGACCCACUAUGAAGUUUUUAGUCGAGAACUAGUGUGUCCCUGAAGAUCUUGGGCACGGGGUAGAGUGCCCGUGCGAGAGUUGUGUUGUGGGACAACAACAUUGACUACCAACCCAGGUUCCUUUUUGAUUAUUUUAUGAUGUUAUCCCUUUUGUGCUUUGGAUAUUUAAAUUGUAAUUCUUGUGUAUAUAUCAUGCCUACGGGCCCACAUUUAUAUUUGCUAUGUAAUACAAUUUGGGUAUCAAGAGUAUUAAGGUAUUUAUAGGUAUGUACACGUAAGACUUCCGUUGAAAUACAGAAUUUGCUUGACUUAGUGUGUGUGUGUGUAUUCUAUGCUGUGAUUACUGUAUCAAAUGAUCCUGACAGGUUUUGGGUUAACAAGUGUUAACUCGGUCACUGGUCCAGUUCUGUGUGAAUGGGGUGUGACAAGUUCUUUCUUAUUUCAAUACUUUAUCCAUUUUAUAUUGUUUUUUAAGAUUUUAUUUUAACGUGAGGUUUUUUGUGGUGUAUGUACAACAAGAAAAAACAAUUUACUUACUGAAACCCGCUUUUGAAUUUUCUUAUUUUGAUUCCUAUCUAUUGGAGCCGUCUGUUCAAUUCAUAUGCUCAUUGAAGGUAUUCGGCCAAUGCUUCCUACUGCCAUAUCUGAUUAAUAAUGUUCUUUGCAGCUAGACUAAACAAAGAAAUGAUUCAAGCUUCUCCUAAAGUAGCUGAUCAGAUGAGAGCUCUUAGAAAUGCUUUUGAUUUUGUCGCUGGUUCUUCUCAUUCAAAUGUUAUUAUUGAAGAUUCAGGCGGCUUUCUGUCCAAGGGAUUGUAGCUUAUUUGGUGUUAAAUGUGACCUCAUUUUUGUUGGAAUGUGUCUCCUCCAUGGUCCAUAUGAGAAGCUCCAACUUUUGCCUUUAUAUCUGUGUUUCAUCUCUUUAAUGGAAAUCUUCUUGCAUAUUUUGUUCUCCAAAAAAAGAGGGAUUGGUAUUCACUACUGAAGAACAAGCGCAGGUUUGA